rnacentral:rRNA from 1 species
UGAACGCUAGCGGCAGGCUUAACACAUGCAAGUCGAGGGGUAGAGGAAGCUUGCUUCCUUGAGACCGGCGCACGGGUGCGUAACGCGUAUACAAUCUACCUUUUACAGAGGGAUAGCCCAGAGAAAUUUGGAUUAAUACCUCAUAGUAUUUUCGGAUCGCAUGAUUUGAUUAUUAAAGUUCCAACGGUAAAAGAUGAGUAUGCGUCCCAUUAGCUAGAUGGUGAGGUAAAGGCUCACCAAGGCGACGAUCCGUAGCUGGUCUGAGAGGACGACCAGCCACACUGGAACUGAGACACGGUCCAGAUUCCUACGGGAGGCAGCAGUGGGGAAUUUUGGACAAUGGGGGCAGCCCUGAUCCAGCCAUUCCGCGUGAGUGAAGAAGG